CACGAUUCAGGUACAUACUUUGCACACUUUACACAUACACAUAUCUUGGAUUAUGCAGAAUAUUGUGUCCGACAUGAUAAAUUAAAAAGAUUAAAAUGUUUCUAAUCAUGAUUAAUCUCACUCUGUGAUAUUUCCUAAAAACCUGCAAUUAUUGAAAAAUCAUUUUAAAACCCUGUGUUACUUAAGUCAUUGUGGAAUGUGAGAUGGUAGAGUAUGAGUUUCUUAACAUUGUUUCUUGGAGAAUUUAUUCAAAAAUUCUAGCUACCAUCCUCAGUGUUUUAUAUGCCUGAUAAACCUGAAAAUAUUAACAUGAUAAUUAUAAAAGCUGUCUACUCUGUAUUGAGUUUGUUCAAAAUGAGUUAGACCCUUGUCGAGAGAUUUAUCAUGCUCCUAAGAUCAAGAUAUUUAUUCAGAAAGAUUCACUCUUCCGAAGUAUUAUUGCAUUAGAGGCAUGGGCUAUGCAAAAAUAAGGAUAUUUCGAGGAAAUAAAAAGGAGCAAGUGCUCGACAACCUCGCAGAAAAAAUGGACAAGUGUCCGGC
rnacentral:lncRNA from 1 species